rnacentral:rRNA from 1 species
CAUCACUACGCUAGAUGCAUAUCAAUAAGCGGAGGAAAAGAAACUAACAAGGAUUCCCCUAGUAACGGCGAGUGAAGCGGGAAGAGCUCAAAUUUGAAAUCUUCAAGGUUUGACCUUGACGAAUUGUAGUUUAAAGAAGUGUUUUCUGUUGGAGUUUUGGUAAAAGUUCUUUGGAAUAGGACAUCAUAGAGGGUGAGAAUCCCGUAUUUGACCAUUAUUUCCAACUUUGUGAUACACUUUCAAAGAGUCGGAUUGUUUGGGAAUGCAGUCCAAAAUGGGUGGUAAAUUUCAUCUAAAGCUAAAUACUGGCGAGAGACCGAUAGCGAACAAGUACCGUGAGGGAAAGAUGAAAAGAGCUUUGAAAAGAGAGUUAAACAGUACGUGAAAUUGUCAAAAGGGAAGCGUUUGACACCAGUGUUGUUUUUCCGAAAAUCAAUUAAGAAUGGCCGGAUUUUAAGUUUCAUGACCUUAAAAGCUUGUUUCUUAUUUUUCUUGUCUUUCUUAAUGCACUUUUCGGUUAACAAGUCAACAUCAAUUUCUUUUGUUGUAAAAGGUUAAGAGGAAGGUGGCUUUACUUUCGGGUAAAGUGUUUAUAGCCUUUUAACUCUGCAAUCGGAGAGAUUGAGGUCUGCAGCGUAGAUCCUUCGGGGCUAGAUACGUUUGUGCUAAGUUAUAGCUUUUCAUAGACAACUUGUUGACUAUGUUUAGUCUUGUAGCUUACUCGCAUGCGCUAUUUUACCUACGCUUAGGAUGUUGAUAUGCAUGACUGAUAU